UUUCUUUUGCUGUGAGCCCCUCCCGUGGAAAGAGGUGAGCCAUUGCAGAAGCCAUUUCAGUUUCCAAAUCAAUCGGAUACAAAGAAGCCCAGGAUGUAAAACUGAUACAGAUCUUGGAGUCAUCAGGUCUAAGCCACCAAAGCUGCACAGUGACUGUCUAUCACCAAGUGCAGGCCACGUUUGUUUGCUCAACGUGAAAUGGCUACCACUGGAACAAUAGGUACGGUUGAAUGCCAGCUUCUGCUUCUCAUCUGCUGCCGUUCUGUCAGAUGCGUCUGCCUGGGGCACUCUAAAGAGGACUGGAAAUGCCUCAGGCCACACCACUUGAUGAGGAGAGUGGAUUCUGACUUACCGUGGCUCGGACUGACCUUUUAUAUCUCAGAUCUAGAAUUUUAUUUUUUAAUUAUAAAAAUCUAGUAGGACCUUCAACUAUCACUAUUUCAAUGCAAGGGGCUUGAACUUAGUUCCUGGCAUGAUCAAGGACAGGCAGCUGAUCCUAUUGUUAUGUUGCUAUAUAUCUGCUACCUUGAACUUGGUUAUUAAACACUAACAUUUAUGACUCUAAA
rnacentral:lncRNA from 1 species